UAACCCUAGGCCAACCGGCCAUGCCCAGGCCCCCACCCGCCAGGCCGCCAGGCGGCGAGGCGCGGCGCCCAUCUCCAUCUCUCCCUACUCAGCCUCUCCUGCACGCCGCCGCCCAUGGUACCAAACACGACCGCCAAAGCCCCUGGCCGAGCUCCCCCAUGGCGUCUCCCCCAACCAUGGUGCUCUCUGCUCCUCCACGGCGCUGAGCUCCACCAGCCGCUGCUCUUGAACGCUGGCGCCAACCUCAUCUUUGCUCCUCUCUCCCGCAUCUCUGCAGGUCGCCCAGGUCGUGGCCUCGACGGAUCCCGCGCGCUCCUGUGUCGUGGCGCUGUCCCCAUGUUUUCUCCGCGCCAGCGCGCCACCGGCUCUGCUUGAGCUCCUCCCUCGCCAUAGCUCACAGGUCGCCACCCCAUGGCUGCUGCUCCUCUCUCCCUCAUCUCUGCAACUCGGCGCCUCCUCUGCUCCUCCACCUGCAGUUCGCCCCAUGUUCUGGACGCCAACCCUCCAUCCCCCUACCCUCCAGCCAUGGACGCCCCAGCUCCCUUUUGUUGCUCGCUAGGGACCAGCUCGGUGCCCUCUCCUCACUUGAAGCCGGCAACAGCGCCUUGGUAGUGGUCGAGCAGCACGUCGUCGGCUCCGUGGGUUUUUUGGGCAGCCCGGUUGCGGUGUCGUCAAACCCCGCUUGCAGUUCAACAGUUGAAUUUCAUCGAGUCCCAGCCAGUUUGAUUAUAUGAACCAGAGGCAAGCCAGGAUGCCCUAGGUACAUAAAUGUGUUUCUGGUGGAGGUAAAGUUCUAAUUCCAACGUUUGCUCUCGGAAGAGCUCAGGUAUUGUAGUUCUCUUAAUUCUACUUUAUGAGACAAAGUGAUGGUUAAGUGUGAUAACUAUAUAUGACUUAAAUGAGCAAGUUUCCCUGAGAAGUACCAUUCCGAGGGCACACUGUUCAAAGGUUUCAUAAUUUGUGAUGACUUGUUCCACUUUUUAAAAAAAAUCAGUAGAGUUGUCUGGACAGCUAACCUCUUGACUGCUUAUGUUUGAUUUGUAUUUGAUAUGUGCUUUUAAUUAUUUAUUAACUAGCAGUAGACUCCUAAUUCCAUGCUUGGUUAAU